GGAGCCUGAGCAUUUCUUAAGAAGAAUACCUAGAAACAUCUGGGGUCCUUCUAUUUCAUUGUCUUACAAUUAUUAGGCUUUGUGUAAACGCUCGCAGAUUGAAUGACGAAAUAAAAGAAGAAACUACAGCACAGUCAAUUUUCUCCAUGACAGCCUGAGAGAUGUAGCUGGUGCUGCCACUUUUCCUUCAUUUUUCCCUGCCUUGAAUAUGGUGGUGAUGCCUGGAGCUUCAGCAGCCAUCUUAUGGCCAUGAAAUGGCAAGCAUGAGAAUGAAAGAAAAUGCACUCAUCAUGAAAGGAGGAAGAGCAGAAGAAAUCUGGGUCACUGGUGAUAUCAAUGGAUAGCUGAAGCAGUGCUGCUCUGGAUGGAAAAUGCCCUGGGUUCUCCGAGACUUAACACCCCGCCUUGUGAACGCGAGCAAGAUUAUUCUCUCUGAGCAGCUCUUUUCACAUGUGAUAAGCUUGGCAAGUUGCCCUGGAUUGAAUUCUCACCCACUGUCUUCACCCAACCCAGCAGAGAAGAAGGCUUGUGACUGUGUAAGGUGAAAAUGGAUAUACCAUUUCUGGGAAGAGAAAAGAAGCCAAUUAAAAGUGGGGCAUGUCAUUACACUGACCAGAAAUGAACGUACCUUUUUAGAAAUAAAGAAUCUGUAUAUUCCUGUGGCUCUGA
rnacentral:lncRNA from 1 species